UACCAGCCCCUCGAGUGGUGGGGAUGAUUAUUUGGCCUAAAGCGUCCGUAGCCGGCCGGGUAAGUUUCCCGUUAAAUCCAAUGUCUCAAGCAUUGGACUGCGGGAAAUACUGCCUGGCUAGAGAGUGGGAGAGGUGUACGGUAUUCUGGGGGUAGGGGCGAAAUCCUUUGAUCCCCGGAGGACCACCAGUGGCGAAGGCUGUACACUAGAACACGUCUGACGGUCAGGGACGAAAGCUGGGGUAGCGAACCGGAUUAGAUACCCGGGUAGUCCCAGCUGUAAACGAUGCAUGCUAGGUGUUGGGUUGGCCACGAGCCACCCCAGUGCCGCAGGGAAGCCGUUAAGCAUGCCGCCUGGGAAGUACGAUCGCAAGAUUGAAACUUAAAGGAAUUGGCGGGGAGCACCACCAGGCGUGAAGCCUGCGGUUU
rnacentral:rRNA from 1 species